GGGUCAGUAGGUUGGUCGUGCCACCGGUACGUACUGGUCACACUGAUUCCUCCUUCCUGAAGAACCGUAAUGCCACUAAUUUGGUGUUGCGGGGAAACAGGACUGUUACUUUGAAAAAAUUAGAGUGUUUAAAGCAAGCUAACGCUUGAAUACAUUAGCAUGGAAUAAUGAAAUAGGACGAUCGAUCCUAUUUUGUUGGUUUCUAGGAUUGACGUA
rnacentral:rRNA from 1 species